rnacentral:misc_RNA from 1 species
UACGUAGGUGGCAAGCGUUGUCCGGAAUUAUUGGGCGUAAAGCGCGCGCAGGCGGUUCCUUAAGUCUGAGGUGAAAGCCCACAGCUCAACUGUGGAGGGCCAUUGGAAACUGGGGAACUUGAGUACAGAAGAGGAGAGCGGAAUUCCAUGUGUAGCGGUGAAAUGCGUAGAGAUGGGGAGGAACACCAGUGGAGGAGGCGACUUUCUGGUCUGUAACUGACGCUGAGGCGCGAAAGCGUGGGGAGCGAACAGG